AUUGAACGCUGGCGGCAUGCCUUACACAUGCAAGUCGAACGGCAGCACGGGAGCAAUCCUGGUGGCGAGUGGCGAACGGGUGAGUAAUAUAUCGGAACGUGCCCGGUCGUGGGGAUAACGUAGCGAAAGCUACGCUAAUACCGCAUACGAUCUACGGAUGAAAGCGGGGGAUCGCAAGACCUCGCGCGAUUGGAGCGGCCGAUAUCAGAUUAGGUAGUUGGUGAGGUAAAGGCUCACCAAGCCGACGAUCUGUAGCUGGUCUGAGAGGACGACCAGCCACACUGGGACUGAGACACGGCCCAGACUCCUACGGGAGGCAGCAGUGGGGAAUUUUGGGACAAUGGGCGCAAGCCUGAUCCAGCAAUGCCGCGUGCAGGAUGAAGGCC
rnacentral:rRNA from 1 species